rnacentral:rRNA from 1 species
GGAUGAACGCUGGCGGCGUGCCUAACACAUGCAAGUCGAACGGACUUUUUCAUGAAGCCUAGCGAUUGAAAAGUUAGUGGCGGACGGGUGAGUAACGCGUGGGUAACCUGCCUUGUACUGGGGGACAACAGUUGGAAACGACUGCUAAUACCGCAUAAGCGCACAGCUUCGCAUGAAGCAGUGUGAAAAACUCCGGUGGUACAAGAUGGACCCGCGUCUGAUUAGCUGGUUGGUGAGGUAACGGCCCACCAAGGCGACGAUCAGUAGCCGGCCUGAGAGGGUGAACGGCCACAUUGGGACUGAGACACGGCCCAAAACUCCUACGGGAGGCAGCAGUGGGGAAUAUUGCACAAUGGGGGAAACCCUGAUGCAGCAACGCCGCGUGAGUGAAGAAGUAUUUCGGUAUGUAAAGCUCUAUCAGCAGGAAGAAAAUG